rnacentral:rRNA from 1 species
AGUCAUAUGCUUGUCUCAAAGAUUAAGCCAUGCAUGUCUAAGUAUAAAGAACUUUAUACUAUGAAACUGCGUACAGCUCAUUAUAUCAGUGAUUAUUUAUUUGAUGGUACCUUACUACAUGGAUAACCGUAGUAACCUAGAGCUAAUACAUGCAUAAAAUCCUGACUCUCGAGAAAGGAUGUAUUUAUUAGAUAAAGAAUCAAUACCGGCUCUGUCGGUUUCAUUGAUGAAUCAUAAUAACUGAUCGAAUCGCAUGCUUCGGCGGCGAUAGUUCAUUCAAAUUUCUGCCCUAUCAGCUUUCGACGGUAGUGUAGUGGACUACCGUGGCAUUAACGGGUAACGGAGAAUUAGGGUUCGAUUCCGGAGAGGGAGCCUGAGAAACGGCUACCACAUCCAAGGAUGGCAGCAGGCGCGCAAAUUACCCAAUCCUGACACAGGGAGGUAGUGACAAUAAAUAACAACCCCGGGUACUAGUUAUCUGGCGAUUGGAAUGAGUACAAUUUAAAUCCCUUAACGAGGAUCCAU